UACGUAGGGGGCAAGCGUUGUCCGGAAUUACUGGGCGUAAAGGGCUCGUAGGCGGCCAACUAAGUCAGACGUGAAAUCCCCAGGCUCAACCUGGGAACUGCGUCUGAUACUGGAUGGCUUGAAUCCGGGAGAGGGAUGCAGAAUUCCAGGUGUAGCGGUGAAAUGCGUAGAUAUCUGGAGGAAUACCGGUGGCGAAGGCGGCAUCCUGGACCGGCAUUGACGCUGAGGAGCGAAAGCUAGGGGAGCAAACGGG
rnacentral:rRNA from 1 species